GACGAACGCUGGCGGCGUGCCUAACACAUGCAAGUCGAACGAAGCUCUGCGAUACAAGACUUCGGUCAAGUUGAACGGAUGACUUAGUGGCGGACGGGUGAGUAACGCGUGAGGAACCUGCCUUUCAGUGGGGGACAACAGUUGGAAACGACUGCUAAUACCGCAUAAUGUAUUCUGACCGCAUGAUCGGAAUACCAAAGAUUUAUUGCUGAAAGAUGGCCUCGCGUCUGAUUAGAUAGUUGGUGAGGUAACGGCUCACCAAGUCGACGAUCAGUAGCCGGACUGAGAGGUUGAACGGCCACAUUGGGACUGAGAUACGGCCCAGACUCCUACGGGAGGCAGCAGUGGGGAAUAUUGGGCAAUGGGGGAAACCCUGACCCAGCAACGCCGCGUGAAGGAAGAAGGCUUUCGGGUUGUAAACUUCUUUUACCAGGGACGAAGGACGUGACGGUACCUGGAGAAAAAGCCACGGCUAACUACGUGCCAGCCGCCGCGGUAA
rnacentral:rRNA from 1 species